UCAGCUCACCGUUGAGCUUCAUCGGCGAGCUGAAGCUCAGCUCGCCGAUCGCGACGCUGAAGCGUCGCCGUUCAGCUUCAUCGGCGAGCUGAAGCUCAACAGCGACGCUUCAGCGUCGCGAACGCGACACUCAGCUCGCUAGGAACUCCUGAAAAACGGCCUCCCUCCCCAGGAACUCCUCGACGAUCUCUGCAAUCCAAACAUGAUAACACUUAUGGGAUUCAUGUUCUUUGUCGUUUCAGCACUGCUUAGCUAUGAAAACAUAUGCUGGAAUUUCUGGUUAGUUGUGUCUACAUCUUUGGUAUUGUUGGUCAUAAAUUUGUAGUGUCCUCCUAUGAGGUUUUUGGACAACAUAGCUAUCAAGCCCAUCCUUCUUGCACUCCUUUCCUAGUACCUUUUUUUUUUUACUCUUAAGCGGGUAAAUAUAACAUUUGUAGUGUUGGCUAAUUCUGUGACAAAGUUUGUGUGUAAAUUGUAAGUUUUUCCAUAAAUUCAUGGAUACACAUAAUUAGAGUGAUUAAAAAAAAAAAAAAAACCUUUCCAUGGAACAUUUUAUUGAAGGUAAUUUUAGGAUUUUAAUUGUUAUUAUUAGAAUUUGAAAUUAUUCAUUGAUUUCCUUAUAAAUUUAAUACGUGGUUGUAUCGUUUGAAGAUAUAGAUGAGGUAUGUGCUCUCUCGCUCUUCACACACUUGACCACCUUGUUGAAUGAUAUGUAAUGCUGAGUUAUGAGUUUUUUAUUUUUAUUUUUUUUAUGAAGAUACGAAGGAGUCAGCAUGCAUUCAUUAAUCCUGCUAUUACAAUUAUACUUCGCAUGGGUGCUGGUGGACAUGGUGUACCUCCUUUAGGAAGUCCUGAUGGUUAGUAAUUGUUUUUGAAUGCUUGAAGGGGUUUUUAUUAUAUAUCUUUUUUGAAGUUAAGAUGUACAAAUCCUGUGCUUGACAUGAAAGUAGCUUUUCGUGAUAACUUUUCUUUUUCGUUCGAAAGGCAUGAUUAUGUUUUUAUAAUGAUGUAGUGGGCUUAGAUAUAUUGUGUAGGUAGUAUCAAAUUAAAAUAUGGUG